UAGCUGGGCAGUAGUUAGUCUCAUAUUCAGCCACUACUGUUUCAUCAUAAUCC
rnacentral:sRNA from 1 species